UGACUUUGAUAGAGAAAAAAAGAUUGCUUUCUUUUGAGCUAUGAUAAAUAUUCUUCAAACUCUGUUUUUAAUUUUUUAUCACAUUUAGGAAUACGUUUGCUUCACCAGUCUGAAUAAAAAGAAUGCAUUUGAUAAGUCCAACAAUAGAUGACGCAAUUUAGUAACACUUACUAAAUACUAGAAUACUAGAGUACUAGAAUUUUAAAAAGUCAUUCGAGGCACAAGCUUCGACCGAUAUUAAAAUUAUAUAAUCACAUUGUCCUAAAAUUCCUUUAUGACAUUGCCACUGAAAAUAAUACAAGAAGGAUGCUUAAACAGGGAAAUGACAUUUAAUUGUGUAAUCUCAGAGACCUUAAGUGUACUUGAAUUUCAAUCUAAAUUCAUUCCUCAGAAAAGAUCUCUGCAGCUAUGUAUGAAUCAUAAAUGCACACAACUGUACAAUAAAUCUAGGUUAGAAAUCAAACAUGUGCAUGGAACUGACUGCAUGUUUUCCACUCUGAACAUUAGUUAACUAAUUUAUAUCAGUAAUUUUUGCAACAGAUUAAAUGACCUUAAAAGGCAAGAGAAAAGAAAACUGUGUGAUAGUUAAUGUGCAUGGGGAGUUAUAGUUAAUGGGGAAAUCCGAGUUCUCAGGAUUUUCAAUAUGCCAACAGACCAAAGCAGGAGUUUUUUGGAUUCCACAAGGGAAAGUCUUUAGAAGCCAGCCAUAUUGUCUGUCCCAGGUGAAUUGUGGGGUUCCAGGGCUCAUUGCCAGAUCCAGUGACAUAUGAACAGAACACAGUUUUGAUUUUUUGAUUUUAAAUAAAUUAUUAAUAUAAAAAUAAGUUGAAGUAUUUCACUUCUGCAACAUUUCAUGUAUGCAUUUAAACUCCUGAGCGGUUAUAGACUUGGAGGAAACCACUGGCUGCCCACUGUCAUGACCAGGAACAUGGUGAGAUUCUAAACUCUUUAAACUCCAAGAAGUAAACCAUUUUUUUUGUAUUUUAAAGAUUGUAAUUUUUGUUUUUUUGGCUUUUUUUGGACAGUGGCAGUAAAAACACAGUGGAGUGAGAUGGGAUGAUUUGCAGCAAAGGGCCUAAGCUGGAACUGAAGCUUGACUGCCUGAAGAACAGUAUGUGGUACGCGUUCUACCAGUUGUUCUUGAAAUGGACCUCAUCAAUCUCUUUCCUGUUCUACAAAUCCCCCCUUUUGAUCAGACGCUGGUCUUGUCCAGGAUAAAUAUUGAGAGGAUCAGAUCAGCCCACACUGGACAACAUGCAAUUCCUCAAGCUGAACUAGUGACCGUAAAGGCUGUAGCUUCCAGUUUCUCGAACAUCAUGUCACCAUUGUCCCAUGUCUUCACACAAGUCUGGACUCAGUGACUUAUUCCUCUUGUUCAACCAGGGCAAGUAAGCCCUGAUACAUAAUGUUUGUUUAUUUCACCAUGGAUUAUCCAUCAUAUGGACAUGUGCUGUUUUUUCAAGAUUUCAUUACUAAUUUGGGAGUAUUGGACAAGGUAUUUGAUCAAUUCAAAAUGUUUUUAAUUUUAAUUUUAAUACUUUUGUGCCUUGGUUUACAAUGGACCUUAUUCACUUAGUAAUUAAUCAUAAAAAGUUGUUGACAGUAAA